rnacentral:tRNA from 1 species
AUUUUAAUAGCUUAUUUAGAGCAUAAUAUUGAAGAUAUUAAGGAGACAUUUUUGUCUUAAAGUA